UCGGCGUCUGUCAAUCAAACCACGACGAUAACAACGUUACGUAUGGUGGCUUCGCUGUUACUUCGAUCGCAAAUGAAUUUGUCAGUAUGGAUAUGCGAAUGUGCUAGGCGUACUCUGCGAUUGUAUGUGGUUUUUUCGUAUGACGUAAGAUUUCACCUGUGUCACAAAUAUAGAAACGCGAGUUCUACUGCUGGAUGCGUAAAAUGGCGCACUCCGAGGAGCGUGAUUCGUUCAUAAAACAAUGACGUUCAAAGGCAAGCAGCCGUGCGAUACCCGUUCAAAGAUUACGAUGGAAAUAGGUUCCACGAACAUGCAAUCAACCCGCUCGAAACAGUUUGUCUCAUAGCUGUCGACGAGCCUCCUCAUGGCGUUCUCAGCGCUGGUCGACGUAGGGGGUCGGAGGCGGAAGGCGACGCGAUUAUAGCUUGACUAGUUCGCAAAUAUAUAAAAAAACAUAUCCUUUGCUAGGGGGCAAACGAAGCCAAAAAAGAGAAAGAAUACGGCCAUCAUCGUCAAAGCGAUUUCAAUAAAUUAUAGAUUACAUUGCACUUGUAUACUGCACGAUUAACAACUUCGAUGCGAUAAAGCUAAAUGACAAUGAUAAAUGUCCAUAUCUGUUCUCCAGAUGCUCGUUUCCACAGCUGCCGUUCCCAGUGGGCGAAGUCAAGGCUGGGUUGUUCAACUAGCAUUUAUGCAGAUUCUUCAGUAUCGGUUAUUUACGUCUGUUAGCACGUUUGGGGGCUACAAAGCUCAUUGGCACACUGGCCCCAUAGGCUGUACAGAUACGGUAGUAUAAACCAGUCCUUCCCCUCUGUGAGUAGCCGUGAAUAAGUUUGUCUGCGAUAGAUUAACUCUGUUUUAUGAGUGUCCCCAUUCACACAACCAGUAACCUUUUCAAAAAGAUGCUAUACGAGUGCUAAAUUGUGCAUUAUGUGUACAUUGAACUUUCCUUUCUUGGUUUCUAAAAGUUGUUGCCCUAGCCGUCAGACGACGAUACAAACCAUAGUAGCGUUUAAUAGCGGGCCUUCUGAACAAACAUGAACCAAAAAGAAAGCAACUCGUUAUUGUUAGUUGGACCUGAAACGGUUACAUUGAAACCAAGUCGCACCUAAAGGAACAAAUGAGUUCAUCCUGUCAGGUGACGAAAACUAUAAUUCUUAUAACGCUACUACACGUAAUACCGACAGAUUAGCAUGUAACCUUAUUUUAACUAUAAAAAAAGGAAAUUUAACAAUAAUUUUAAUUAAAACUAAAAACAAUUAGUAAGCUAAAUUUGUUAUUUACUACACUUCAUAAAAAGCUAUUCAGAUUUUUAUUCUUCUCCAGUAUAGUAGCAGCACAUAGUAACAGUUAAGGUCACCUAAAAAUGCACACUAAUUUAUCUAGUGCAAUAAUCACUGGCGCUCUGCAAAACCGAAAUACGCUGAUCCUCCGUUGCGUAUAUACAGGGGCAUGGAAUCCCCUCCCCACAAAUAUUUUAAAUGGCUUGCGCUACCUGUGUCCGCAAUUCGCAUGGCCAAUCCUCGACCUGAAAUGCCUAAUAGCUUUCAGCUUUGGAAUCUUUUUGGACGUUAUUUAUUUAAAGUGCGUGCAAGGUUGCGUGCUACGAAACCACGCAACCUUGAUAAUGUACUUUUAUACUGGUUACUUGUUUUUUGAUAUUUUUAAGGGUAUAGGGUCUACCUUACUAUCCAUUUGCUAAGUGCCACUCAACGUUUCCUAUUAUCAUCAGUACUAUCAUCACAUAGUUAACGAGUACACACAUAUACCUGUAUGCCACGUUAUUUGCCAUAUCCUAUAUGGUGGUACAUAUUUAUGUACAUAGACAGGAGACAAUGGCACAUUUAAAAUUA